GAUUGUAUUGGUAGGAUUAAGCUUGCGAGUUUUCAACUGGAGAUUUCUUUUGGGCUUAUCACUCUUAUCUCUGCCCUCAGCCCUUCUUUUAUUAAACCCAAAAGUCUCAUUAUUAUUAGCUUCCAUAGGGAGACCUUUGUCCCUUUCUCUGCUCUUGCUAUUAGUCUCUCUGCUAAAAGUGCUCUUACUUCUGCUUCUAAAACGGAGAGACUGGUGAUUAGGCGUGGUACGGUGUCGUCUCGAAGAAGAACAGAGGACAGUGAACAGAGAAUGAGGCUUGGGUUUAGAGAAAGGGAAUGGCAGAGAGGGCUUUAUAGGCGAGAAGAGGAAGCGCAGAUUUGAGAUUUGGGGCAUUUGCGUUAUUAUUUCUCUCUAGGUAGAGAGAUUUUGCAAGGGUUUUAGAAGAGUGACAGGGGAAGAUGCAGGCGAGGCAAC
rnacentral:misc_RNA from 1 species